rnacentral:rRNA from 1 species
AGCGGAGGAAAAGAAAAUAACAAUGAUUCCUCUAGUAACUGCGAGUGANGAGGGAAAAGCUCAAAUUUUAAAUCUGUUAGGUUUACCUAACCGAGUUGUAAUUUGAAGAAGCGUUUUCUGCGAUUUUGGUUAGUCCAAAUCCUUUGGAAUAAGGUAUCAUGGAGGGUGAGAAUCCCGUUCGGUUAACCAAAGCGCUUUACGAUACGCUUUCAAAGAGUCAAGUUGUUUGGGAUUGCAGCUUAAAAUGGGAGGUAAAUUUCUCCUAAGGCUAAAUAUUGGCGAGAGACCGAUAGCGAACAAGUACCGUGAGGGAAAGAUGAAAAGAACUUUGAAAAGAGAGUUAAACAGUACGUGAAAUUGUUGAAAGGGAAACGAUUAAAGUCAGUCGUACCUACGAGUAAUCAACCUACUCGAGUGCGAUUUUGUGGGUAUGUUAGAGUUUAAACCUUCAUGCUUACAAAUUGGUGCUCUUUGGGCGUACUUUCUCGUAUGGUAGGUUAACAUCAAUUUCGAUCGUUAUAAAAUGACUGGAGGAAUGUAGCUUCGACCUCGGUUGAAGUGUUAUAGCCUUUGGUAGAUGUAAUGAUUGGGAUUGAGGAUUGCAACGGAUACCCUCUGGGCUAUUCGUCUGAUCUCUGGAAGUUACCUUGGUGUCGAAAGCGUGCUUACGAUAUUAAGGUUGACGGCCAAUAGGUUAGAACGUGAUUAAAUUCGUAAGGAUGUUGACGUAAUGNCNUUAAACGACCCGUCU